rnacentral:rRNA from 1 species
GCAGUGCGGGUCUAUAAUGCAGUCGAGCGAUGGAUGGAGAGUUUGCUCUUAUUAGUAGCGGCGGACGGGUGAGGCACACGUGUGUGACCUGCCCAUAAGACUGGGAUCACUCCGGGAAAGCGGGUAUAAUACCGGACAUGAUUUUGAACCGCAUGGUUCUAAAUUGAUGGCGGCUUCGGCUGUCACUUAUGGAUGGACCCGCGUCGCAUUAGCUAGGUGGAGAGGUAACGGCUCACCAAGGUGACGAUGCGUAGCCAACCUGAGAGGGUGAUCGGACACACUGGGACUGAGACACGGCCCAGACUCCUACGGGAGGCUGGAGUAGGGAAUCUUCCGCUGUGCACGAAAGUCUGACGGAGCAACGCCGCGCGAGUGAUGAAGGCUCUCGGGUCGUAGAACUCUGUUGUUAGGGAAUAACAAGUGCUAGUUGUAUAAGCUGGCACCUUGACGGCACCUAAUCAGAUAGCCACGGCUAACUACGUGACUAGCAGCCGCGGUAAUACGUAUGUGGAAUUGCGUUAUCCGGAAUUAUUGGCGUAGAGCGCGCGCAUGUGGUUUCAUAACUCUGAUGUGAACGCCCGACGGCUUCAUCCGUAGCAGGGUCAUUGGAAAUCUGGGAGACUUGAGUGCAGAAUUACGAGAGUGGAAUUUCCAUGUGUAGCAGUUAAAUGCGUACAGAUGUGGAGAAGCAUCAGUCGUGAACGCAACUUUCUGGUCUGUAUCUGACACUGAGGCGGCGAAAGCGUGUGGAGCACACAGGAUUACAUCCCCUGGUACUCACCGCCGUAAACGAUGAGGGCUAGGAUAGAGGUUCCGCCCUUUAGGGCUAGAGUACCGCAUUGAGCACUCGCCCUGGAGGAGUACGCUCGCAAGACUGAACUUCAACGUAAUGACGGGGCACGCACAAGCUGGAUACAUGGCUUAUUCGAAGUCACCGGAGACUUACCAGGCUUGGACUUCUUUGAACUUCUGGAUU